rnacentral:rRNA from 1 species
CCCUUAGAUGUUCUGGGCCGCACGCGCGCUACACUGACGAUGGCAACGAGUUUUUCCUUCGCCGAAAGGUGUGGGUAAUCUUUUGAAACAUCGUCGUGCUGGGGAUAGAUCAUUGCAAUUUUUGAUCUUGAACGAGGAAUUCCUAGUAAGCGCGAGUCAUCAGCUCGCGUUGAUUACGUCCCUGCCCUUUGUACACACCGCCCGUCGCUACUACCGAUUGAAUGGUUUAGUGAGGACUCCUGAUUGGCGCCGCCGCCCCGGCAACGGAGCAGCGGACUGCCGAGAAGUUGUUCAAACUUGAUCAUUUAGAGGAAGUAAAGGUCGUAACA